rnacentral:rRNA from 1 species
AUUGAACGCUGGCGGCAGGCCUAACACAUGCAAGUCGAACGAGUGGCGGACGGGUGAGUAAUGUCUGGGGAACUGCCCGAUGGAGGGGGAUAACUACUGGAAACGGUAGCUAAUACCGCAUACCAUCGGAUGUGCCCAUAUGGGAUUAGCUAGUAGGUGGGGUAAAGGCUCACCUAGGCGACGAUCUCUAUCUGGUCUGAGAGGAUGAUCAGCCAAACGGGAACUGAGACACGGUCCAGACUCCUACGGGAGGCAGCAGUGGGGAAUAUUGCACAAUGGGCGAAAGCCUGAUGCAGCCAUGCCGCGUGUAUGAAGAAGGCCUUCGGGUUGUAAAGUACUUUCAGCGGGGAGGCGUUACCCGCAGAAGAAGCACCGGCUAACUCCGUGCCAGCAGCCGCGGUAAUUC